rnacentral:misc_RNA from 1 species
GAUGAAGAACGCAGCGAAAUGCGAUAAGUAAUGUGAAUUGCAGAAUUCAGUGAAUCAUCGAAUCUUUGAACGCACCUUGCACUCCUUGGUAUUCCGAGGAGUACGCCUGUUCGAGUGUUAUGAAGCUCUCAAAACGCAAUUGGCUUAAAACCUGAUUGUUGUUUUGGAUUUGAACUUUGCCGUGUUAUAACGGCUGGUUUUAAAAGUAUUAGCUGGUACUAGAACGAAUUGGUUCUACUCAACGUGAUAAUUAUCUGAUCUUUGAGGACAUUCCUUUCACGAGGAAUGGCCAUAGUAAAUUCAAUGGACUGCUUCUAAUCUGGCUUUAAUUCUUUAUUGGAUUAACCACUUUUCAAAUCUGACCUCGAAUCAGGUGGGACUACCCGCUGAACUUAAGCAUAUCAAUAAGCGGAGGA